GGAAUAUUCCACAAUGGGCGAAAGCCUGAUGGAGCGACGCCGCGUGAGUGAAGAAGGGCUUCGGCUCGUAAAGCUCUUUUCUUGAGGACGAAUGGCCUAUUAGAUAGGCAGAGACGGUACUUAGGGAAUAAGCCACGGCUAACUACGUGCCAGCAGCCGCGGGAAUACGUAGGUGGCAAGCGUUGUCCGGAAUUAUUGGGCGUAAAGGGAGCGCAGGCGGGUUUGCAAGUCCAAAUUAAAAGUGCAGGAGUAAUGUCUGUGAUGGUUUGGAAACUGCAAAUCUUGAGAGCAGGAGAGGCAAGCGGAAUUCCCGGUGUAGCGGUGAAAUGCGUAGAUAUCGGGAGGAAGACCAGUGGCGAAGGCGGCUUGCUGGUCUGCAACUGACGCUGAGGCUCGAAAGCAUGGGUAGCGAACA
rnacentral:rRNA from 1 species